UACGUAUGUCGCAAGCGUUGUCCGGAUUUAUUGGGCGUAAAGGGCUUGUAGGUGGUUUGUCGAGUCUGUCGUGAAAUCCUGUGGCUUAACCAUGGGCUUGCGGUGGGUACGGGCAGGCUUGAGUGCGGUAGGGGAGAGUGGAAUUCCUGGUGUAGCGGUGGAAUGCGCAGAUAUCAGGAGGAACACCGGUGGCGAAGGCGGGCCUCUGGGCCGUUACUGACACUGAGGAGCGAAAGCGUGGGGAGCGAACAGG
rnacentral:rRNA from 1 species